UACGUAGGGUGCAAGCGUUGUCCGGAAUUAUUGGGCGUAAAGAGCUCGUAGGCGGUUUGUCGCGUCUGCUGUGAAAACGCGAGGCUCAACCUCGCGCCUGCAGUGGGUACGGGCAGACUAGAGUGCGGUAGGGGAGAUUGGAAUUCCUGGUGUAGCGGUGGAAUGCGCAGAUAUCAGGAGGAACACCGGUGGCGAAGGCGGCGUCCUGGACCAACACUGACACUGAUGAGCGAAAGCCAGGGGAGCAAACGGG
rnacentral:rRNA from 1 species